rnacentral:rRNA from 1 species
AGAGUUUGAUCCUGGCUCAGGAUGAACGCUAGCGGCAGGCCUAACACAUGCAAGUCGAGGGGUAAGGUCUCUUCGGAGAUACACGACCGGCGCACGGGUGAGUAACGCGUAUGUAACCUACCUUCAACAGGGAGAUAGCUCUCGGAAACGGGAAUUAAUAUCCCAUAAUAUUUUUUUAUAGCAUUAUAGAAAGAUUAAAGCUCCGGCGGUUGAAGAUGGGCAUGCGUGACAUUAGCUAGUUGGUAAGGUAACGGCUUACCAAGGCUGCGAUGUCUAGGGGGUCUGAGAGGAUGAUCCCCCACACUGGUACUGAGACACGGACCAGACUCCUACGGGAGGCAGCAGUGAGGAAUAUUGGGCAAUGGACGCAAGUCUGACCCAGCCAUGCCGCGUGCAGGAUGAAUGCCCUAUGGGUUGUAAACUGCUUUUCUGCAGGAAGAAAUGUCCCGACGUGUCGGGAUUUGACGGUACUGCAGGAAUAAGCAUCGGCUAACUCCGUGCCAGCAGCCGCGGUAAUACGGAGGAUGCAAGCGUUAUCCGGAUUUAUUGGGUUUAAAGGGUGCGUAGGCGGGAGAUUAAGUCAGUGGUGAAAUCCUACAGCUUAACUGUAGAACUGCCAUUGAUACUGGUUUUCUUGAGUAUAGUUGAAGUGGCGGAAUGUGUAUUGUAGCGGUGAAAUGCUUAGAUAUUACACAGAACACCUAUUGCGAAGGCAGCUCACUAAACUAAUACUGACGCUGAGGCACGAAAGCGUGGGGAGCAAACAGGAUUAGAUACCCUGGUAGUCCACGCCGUAAACGUUGAUUACUCGAUGUGUGCGAUACACUGUACGCGUCUGAGCGAAAGCAUUAAGUAAUCCACCUGGGGAGUACGAUCGCAAGAUUGAAACUCAAAGGAAUUGACGGGGGCCCGCACAAGCGGAGGAACAUGUGGUUUAAUUCGAUGAUACGCGAGGAACCUUACCUGGGCUUAAAUGUAGAUUGAUUUCCACCGAAAGGUGGUUUCCCUUCGGGGCAAACUGCAAGGUGCUGCAUGGUUGUCGUCAGCUCGUGCCGUGAGGUGUCGGGUUAAGUCCCAUAACGAGCGCAACCCCUAUCGUUAGUUGCCAGCGAGUAAUGUCGGGGACUCUAGCGAAACUGCCGGUGUAAACCGUGAGGAAGGUGGGGAUGACGUCAAAUCAGCACGGCCCUUAUGUCCAGGGCUACACACGUGUUACAAUGGCCAGUACAGAGGGCAGCUACCUGGUGACAGGUUGCAAAUCUCGAAAACUGGUCUUAGUUCGGAUCGAAGUCUGCAACUCGACUUCGUGAAGCUGGAUUCGCUAGUAAUCGCGCAUCAGCCAUGGCGCGGUGAAUACGUUCCCGGGCCUUGUACACACCGCCCGUCAAGCCAUGGAAGUUGGGGGUGCCUGAAGUCCGUAACCGCAAGGAGCGGCCUAGGGUAAAACCAGUGACUGGGGCUAAGUCGUAACAAGGUAACCA